CGCCCCACACUCCACAACUUUCCGUCUUCAUCUUUUCAUGUUUUCUCACUCAACAUUUGAAUUCAUUCCACCGUCUAGCAUGAUUCACAAAGAGAUGACACAAAACAUAAAGUUCUUUGUCCUUUAGGAGUUUCUGAUUGUGAUCAAAGUUCUUCAAUUAUAUGUGUUUAUUUUUGAUCCGUGAAGUUUCUUUUCUAGGGUUGGAUCCACC
rnacentral:lncRNA from 1 species